AAGCGUAUAUUAAAGUUGUUGCAGUUAAAACGCUCGUAGUCGGAUUUCGGGGCGAGCCUGCCGGUCUGCCGAUGGGUAUGCACUGGCAGGGUCGUCCUUCCUUCCGGAGACUGUCCCUACUCUUAACUGAGCGGGGUCGGGAGACGGAUCGUUUACUUUGAAAAAAUCAGAGUGUUUCAAGCAGGCAGCUCGCUCUUGCAUGGAUUAGCAUGGGAUAAUGAAAUAGGACUUUGGUGCUAUUUUGUUGGUUUCGAACACCGAAGUAAUGAUUAACAGGGACAGUCAGGGGCACUCGUAUUCCGCCGAGAGAGGUGAAAUUCUCAGACCAGCGGAAGACGAACCACUGCGAAAGCAUUUG
rnacentral:rRNA from 1 species